ACCCAGUAAUGGGAAUUCUGAGUCAAAUGGUGUUUCUGUUUUAGGUUAGGUCUUUGAAGUAAUCGCCACACUGUUUCUCAUAAUGGUUAAACUAAUUUAUAAUCCCACCAACAGUGUAUAACCGUUCUUUUUUCUCCACAACCUCACCGGCAUCUGUUAUUUUUUGACUUUUUAGUAAUAGUCAUUCUAACUGCUGUGAGAUGGUAUCUGAUUGUGGUUUUGAUUUGCAUUUCUCUAAUAAUCAGUGAUGUUGAGCUUUUUAUAUAUGCUUGUUGGUGGCAUGUAUGUCUUCCUUUGUAAAAUGUCUGUUCAUGUUCUUUGUUCACUUUUUAAUGGGAAACAUCCUUCAAGAGAACGGAGUCUGCCCAUAAGAGCAUGGAGCCAAAAUACAGACAGAGACCCCAGAGAGAUCCUGUGCCCCUUCGUCCAUGUGAGAACAGAGUGAGAAGAAGGCCAUCUGUGAGGAAUUGGGUCCUCACCAGACCCAAUCUGCCUGAGCCGUGACCUUACACCGAAUCUGCCUGAGCCGUGACCUUACACUUUCCAGCCUCCAGAACUUUGAUGAAAAUGUGCUGAAAUUGGAAUCCUCAAACAUUGCUGGUGAAAAUGCAAAAUACAGCUGCUAUGGAAAGUAGUUUGUUGGUGUCUCAAAAAGCUGAACAUAAAAUUAUUAUAUGAGCCAGUGAUUUCACUCUUAGGUAUAUUCUCAAAAGAAUUAAAAACGACCAUGCAAACAAAUACUUGUGCAUGAAUGUUCAUUGCAGCAGUAUUCACAGUAGCCAAAAGGUGGAAACAUAACAAGUGUUCAUCAGAAGAUAAUAAAUAAAUGAAAUAGAAUGGAUUCAUACAAAUAUUAUUCAGUCAUUAAAAAUGAAUAAAGUAGUUAUAUAUGCUGUAACUAGGGGAACCUCAAAAGCAUUAUCUAAGUGAAAAAAGCCAGAUACAACAAUCAUGUAUUAUAUAAUUCCAUUCAUAUGCAGCUUCUAGAAUAGAUAAAUACAUGGAGACUGAAAGCAGACUAGUGGUUAUUGGGGCUUGGAGAAGGGGGAUGGGAUUGAUUGCCUAAUGAGUAUGGGAUUUCUUUUAGAAUGAUGUAAACACCUUAGAACUAAAUAGGGGAGAUGGUUGCACAACAUUGUAAAUGGACUUAAUACCACUGAAUUGUACACUUUAAAAAGGUUAAUGGUUAAAUUGAUGUUAUAUGAAUUUUAUCUCAAUUUAAAAUUUAAAUAUUAUAAAAUUUUGUAAAAUGUCUUAAAAUUCUUUCCUUCUAACUACAGUACUAUCUUUGGGUAUCCAGUGAGAUCUGCUUGUGCUUCCACUCUUCACUGAUGAUAUCUUUUUCAUCGUAUGUAAGACUUUCAUUUAUUUAGCCACCUUUCAUACCAUUUCUCUGUUUCCAGCAAGAAAUGUCUCAUUCUUUUCCAAAGUUACAGUUUUUACAUAUGUUGGCUUCGUAACCCCUUCCAGGUCCUGCUUCAUCAAUUAAACCUACUCUUCCUCUUUUCUGUAUACCUGCCAUCCAUAUUUUGUCCUUUCUUCUGGAUCUACACAUUUAACUUGAUUGAUUUAAUAUUGGUAACUUCCUUUACCUUCAUUCCAUAUGAAAACAUCUACCCUUCUUUCUUUAAAUCUUAACAGCACUUAUUCUGAAUGAGGGAGAUGAAAUACAGCUAAGGCACUAGGAUUGUCUAUUGCAUUCGAGAAAGGGUGAGCAAAAUAUAGCCUGUGGGCCAAAUAUGGCCCAACAUCUACUUUGUAAUUAACAUUUUUGGGAACAAGUCACACUUAUUCACUUAUAUAUUGUCUGUAGUUAGUCGUAUUACAAUGGCAGUGUUGAGUAGUGGACACAGACACAAUAUUGCCCACAAAACCUAAAAUAUUUACUAUUUGGCCCUUAUAGGAAAAAUAAUUCAGGUUCCUAUAUUGAAAUAUCAAUAGAUUUCAGAAUUCUAUGUUAGAGUAGCAAUAGGUAUUUUAAGAGAGAAAUCUCCAAAUCUCUGAAUUUACAUGAUAGAAGUGUAUUCUCACCUAAAUUCUAAGAAAUAGCAAUAUGGAUUCAGGAAACAAGCUUGCAGAUGCCUUCCAAAAGUGCCUGGACUUUAACUGGCACGUGGUCAAAAAAAAAAGUGAAUAAUUACAUAGAACUUUUCCUAUUUUUCUUUCUUCUUUAAUAGAAUAUACCUGUAAUUAUUAUAUAUUGCUUCCACCAAUGCCACCUUCUUUUUAUACUUCUACAACUGCUCAAUCAUGCCUCUUCAGGGGUGCAGGCUACUAGUAACUUCUUGGAAGUUUUCUCUCCUUAGAGACCUUUCCUCCCAGUUCCAGAGAUACCUGCAGCAGGCUUUGAAAAUCCUCCUGGAGCUCUGGAUCUUAGCUCUGGAGGGGCCUCUUCAAACUGUUUGGAUUCAGACAAUAUCAAUUCCUGGUGUUUCCUGGAUCUGGCUAAAAUGACAACAGUGACAUAAUGCCAAGUUCUGCUGAAAGAGGCUGGGAAGUUCAGGAUCAACUUGCCAGCAGGUUUGUUUUCUAAUGAGGAUCCAAUCUCUACUUCCAAGAUGGCACUUUCAUCCAGAAUGAAGGUAGAGGAACACUGUUCUCACAUGGCAGAAGGUAAAAUGGCAAAAAGGGACAAUCUCCCUCUGUCAAGUCCUCUGAUUAGGUGACCUAAUCCCAUUCAUGAUGGAAGUGCCCUCAUGGUUCAAUCACUUCAAAAUGCCACAUCUCUCAAUGCUGUUGCAUUGGCAAUUAAGUGUCAACAUGAAUUUUGCAGGGGACAAAAACAUUCAAACCAUAGAAAUUGCUUGGAAAUUAUAUAUUUAUAUAUAACCAAGGAAUAGAAAAAUACAGAGUCAAGGAGUUUAACACAGGGUAGUCAUAGCAAUAUACAGUUAAUUUCUCUUUCUGAAUAGGGUCAUUAGAGUAUAUUCAUUCUCACAUGUUGUGCUUGUAAUGUGAUGUUGAUACUGUUACUGUUGACUGGAAGAGUCCAUUCCUCUUGAACUUCACUAAAUUAUUGUGUCUGCUUCUCUCAGUAGCACAUGCCAAGAGUAAAACUAUUUGUCUUCUAAAUCCAAGUAUAAAAAAGUUAUGAACUUCUCCUUUGUUAUUUUUGGGAUGCUUUCUCUGGAAUGCAGCCAUCAUGCUUUGAGGAAGACAUGUACCUACAUGAAGAGGUCCUAUGUAGCCGUUCCAACUAGUAGACCUAGCUGAGGUCUCAGACUACAGCCUGUAUCCACCAACAGGUACAUGAGAGAGCAAGCCUUCAUGUUAUAACAGCCUCCCCCUGUUUAGUUUUAUAAAAUAAAUCAUAAUAAUCAUAUAUUUUGACUCAUCACUGAAUAUUAUCGUAAUGAGAAUAACUACUGACUGCUAAUUUAAUGUUAAAAAUCCAUACAUUUAUUGGAUUGGU
rnacentral:lncRNA from 1 species